UGGAUUGUGAACUGCCAGUUGCUUUGGGAUUCUACCAAUGUGCGAUCGCCAAAAUAGUCACCGUCAGCCAACAUACCCAACACGGUCGGCUCGUCAUAUUUACCAACACCAAUCUUGUUCACCUUGCCAUGUGCAAUCAAAAAAAGCUGAUUGGCUGGCUGACCUGACUGCACUAUGAUGUCACCAGGUGCAAACUCCUGUUGCACAAACCGACCCGCCAACGCCAAGAGUACCUCGGUGUCGUCAAACCCUCGCAGUAAUGGCAACUCACCAAGUGCCUGGGGAAUCACCUGCACCACGGCUCCGGUGUUGGAGAAACUCAACCGCCCAUCACCCACAGUAUAGGUCAACCGACGGUUCACCCGAUAGGUACUACCCUUCGUCUGCACCCACGGCAACAUUUUCAACAACCACCGCGAGGUAAUCUCCUGCAUUUGCGGCGCAGAUUUAGUGGUCGUGGCCAAAUUGCGCGCAGCAGCUGUACUCAAACUCAGUUGAGGUUGUCCAC
rnacentral:antisense_RNA from 1 species